UCUUCGGCAAUGGACGCAAGUCUGACCGAGCAACGCCGCGUGAGUGAAGAAGGUUUUCGGAUCGUAAAACUCUGUUGUAAGAGAAGAACGUUGAUGAGAGUGGAAAGUUCAUCAAGUGACGGUAUCUUACCAGAAAGCCACGGCUAACUACGUGCCAGCAGCCGCGGUAAUACGUAGGUGGCAAGCGUUGUCCGGAUUUAUUGGGCGUAAAGCGAGCGCAGGCGGUUGAUUAAGUUUGAUGUGAAAGCCCCCGGCUCAACCGGGGAGGGUCAUUGGAAACUGGUCAACUUGAGUGCAGAAGAGGAGAGUGGAAUUCCAUGUGUAGCGGUGAAAUGCGUAGAUAUAUGGAGGAACACCAGUGGCGAAGGCGGCUCUCUGGUCUUAACUACGCUGAGGCUCGAA
rnacentral:rRNA from 1 species